AAUCAACGCUGGCGGCGUGCCUCAGACAUGCAAGUCGAACGCGAAAUCCCGAGCAAUCGGGAGAGUAGAGUGGUGCACGGGUGAGUAACACGUAGGUAAUCUACCUUCGGAUGGGGAAUAACAACCGGAAACGGUUGCUAAUACCGCAUAAUGCAGCGGCACCUAAUGGUGACAGUUGUUAAAGCGGGGGAUCGAAAGACCUCGCGUCUGAAGAGGAGCCUGCGGCGGAUUAGCUAGUUGGUAAGGUAAUGGCUUACCAAGGCGACGAUCCGUAACCGGCCUGAGAGGGCGGUCGGUCACACUGACACUGACAUACGGGUCAGACUCCUACGGGAGGCAGCAGUCGGGAAUUUUGGGCAAUGGGCGAAAGCCUGACCCAGCAACGCCGCGUGAAGGAUGAAAUCCCUCGGGAU
rnacentral:rRNA from 1 species